UCCAUUCACGGCGCCCGGUUCUCAUUUUCAUUUUCCCCUCUUCCUUCUCCGGUUGAGCCGAGCGGCGCCCCCGCAGCUCGGGCUUGCCCUGCCGCGCCGGCCACUCCCCGCCGCUCCGCUCCGAUUCGGCGUGCCCCGAGCCCCUCACCAUCCCCUCCACCUUCCCUAGCCCGCGGUCAAGCUUCUCCCCGGCCGAAUCGGCCGGAAUCGGCUCAGUCACCAACCGCCACCAUUGGAGCCGCCCGGAGCUCCUGCUCCUCGUCGACCCUUCCCCUCCAGACCACCUUCGCUCGAGCCAAGCCCCAGAACGGGUCCCUCUCGGCCCACUGAAGGUCCCCAACCCGUCCCUGCUCGCCCAGCCUCGCCGGAGCACCGCCCCACGCCGCCACCGCCGCCGCCGGCCGCCGGCUCCCAUCGCCGGCCCUCCUCCGGCCACAUCGGCAUCAACCGAGACCACCCAGAGGUACGCUAAAUGUGCGACACGUGGAACCGGAGGGCAAUGUUGAAGCCGAGCCAGAAGAUGGUGCACGGGUGGAUCAAUCCAGAAGACAGAAGGACCGACUGGAGUACAUGCUUGGACUGGGAUGAUGUCAAGCCGGUGCAGGACUACAAGCUAACUAACUGACUUUGUGUCAAACCCAGGUUUUUAUUGUUGAUGGAAGCUGACCAGGAUUCACGUCGGUGGGCUCGAUGUGACAUCCUCCCGACUUCGUAGGUCUCGUGGUUUUCCAACUGAACUUCCUUUCUAAAUUUCCGCUGCACUUUUAACUCUGUUAACUUUUAUUUAAAUUUAAUUGUAAUACUUUGCUUUGUAAACUUAAUUUUGAGAACUUUAGUCUGCUUGUAAUCAUCUGUGCUCGCCUUCGUGCGAGACUUCCGGUGUUUUCGAUCCUUAACCCAGCAGGCUGCCGGAUUUCACCGUUUUAAGUGCGCGGUGGCUUGAUUAAUACUUAAAAUGAUAGUUAGUGCACUUAAGCCAGUUUAAUUUGGGGGGUUCUGCCACACUUACUACGCCUAUCUUCUCUUUCUCUUUGUCAUCACUUGAACCUAAAAAGCCUGAGAAUGGUCAUCUUAACAAUCAUAUUAGUCCAAGUGUUGUGUUGUCAUUCGAUCACCAAAAUCACUCGAAAUGGCAUAAAUGGUGCCAUGUUCGUUUCACUCGCCUCCCCGCCGCCAGCCUAACCUACCCUGCUGCUAGAGACGGAGCCACAACUAGGGCGAGCUAGGGCGGCCGCCCUAGGUCCCUCUAGGCGAGAUCCCUAGCAUAUCUGUUAACAGCAGAGGUAGCGGGAAGAGGAAGAAGAAUGGAUCUGAGGAACAUAGAAAGAAUGGAGGAGAACAGAGAAUUAACUUCUGGAGGACAUAUCAUUUGAGAAAGAAGUAAGAGUUCAUACAAAUUGUUCGACUCUAUUCUCAACUCCGACAGGUCUCAUGAUGGUGUGGCAGCGCACUCCGAACGUGAGGAUGACAGUCCUCUACCGCCGAGAGUCACGAGAUUGGGCCAUUGGGGCAUUGGGCGAGAGGACUUCGUGGCCUCGUGGGCCGUCCGUUCAAGUGAACCGUCUCGGAUGAAACACAUGUGCCGGUGAUGAUAGCGUUGUGAGCGUUGCCGUGAUAACCAACAUGCAGUGGCAAAUCUAUUAUCUUAUUAUUUGGACAAGAAACGGAAUCUCUACGUUCGCUCUCAAAAUCUAGAAAUUCUCACGUUAAUCGGAGUCUAGCUUUACUUUGUGCUUCCGCUUCGAUCUACUUGGUUGUGUUCUUUCUCUGUGUGCAGGGACUUCAAAUAUUCUUUCCUUGGAGCAGCCACACGCCGACGACGACAAGCCGCAGCAGCGCCGUCCUGUAUCGGCAUCGGCCCCCCAGGGGCGGAGCCAGGAUUGAAACAUAGAGGGCCAAUUUAGAUCAAGGGGGGCCAUAUCUUGUUAAUGAGCAACAUUUGCAAUGAGAUUAUGGGGUUUUAUGUGGAGUUGCAGCAACAUUAGGGGGGCCUGGCCCCUGCCGGCCCCCUGUCUCCGCCCCUGCGGCCCCCACUCCUCUCCAUCCUCGCCAUGAACACACGAGAGAGCGCUGCAAGGAAAGAAUCGCUCAGCGGUGUGCUGUGCGUCCAUGUUGUAUUUAUAUAUAGAAACAUAGAAGCAUUGGGUCCAUAACCCUAUACGCCCCCACUGGCAGCUACAAGGCUACGCAAUUUCAUUCUUUCACAGUCAAGUUGCCUCUUGUUUAGAUGCAUAAAAUUUUGAUUGUAAAGUAAUGUAGCAUUUUUGUUUGUAUUUGAUAAUUAUUGUUUCGCCAUGAGUUAAGUAGGCUCAAAAGAUUCGUCUCGCGAAUUAUAGACAAAUUGUAUAAUUA